UACGAAGGGGGCUAGCGUUGCUCGGAAUCACUGGGCGUAAAGGGCGCGUAGGCGGUCAGCACAAGUCAGUUGUGAAAUCUCCGGGCUUAACUCGGAAAGGUCAACUGAUACUGUGCGACUAGAGUGCAGAAGGGGCAACUGGAAUUCUCGGUGUAGCGGUGAAAUGCGUAGAUAUCGAGAGGAACACCUGCGGCGAAGGCGGGUUGCUGGGCUGACACUGACGCUGAGGAACGAAAGCGUGGGGAGCAAACAGG
rnacentral:rRNA from 1 species